ACCUUAUAUAAGCAGCCAGCCUCAUUGGGACAAAUCCAGAUCCCACGGCGACUGUGUUUGGUGGUUAUGACAGAUUUUGGCUGCAGGAAGACGUCAGCACCUCCUUCAAUAGGUGUCUCAACAUCCCUCCUUAACAGGAAGGCUACAGCUUCAACCAUUUUACCAUCUGACCAUCUUACCUCUGUGAGCUUUACAGAUAGCACAGGGUCUUCACCGCAACCGUAGGAGGGGAGCGCUCCCCCGCACCCCAACUUACCCAUCCCGGUGUACACGGUGGUGUCGGGCCCCCCUGUGACUCAGCCAGGCGCGUGUGCUCGUCCCCACCUGCUUGGCCUUGAUCCGCCAUCCCCGGCCCCGUUGCCCCCCCCUC